CUUUCUUUUUUUUCAAACACGCGUGCAGUACGUAAAUCCGCGAGUAAAAGUUGAGUAGUGUCCUCGCGCUGUAAAAACCGCCCCGGCACCUUCCCGAGAAAAGUGGUGCACGUGCUCUGCGGGGAUCGGAUGUCACGCCGAGCUAGUAAUCC